AGACCACCCCGGGGCAAGGGCUAGGCUGAGAGAGGACACAUUAUACAGCAACAGGGAAAAGGGCAUUUGGGCCACUGCUUACAUAAGUUCUUUGUUCCUUCAUGCUCUGCCCAAGGUGAAUCCUGUAUGUGCCACUUUAAGUUGGUGUAGUCCUCCUGCGGUUGGCCUCUUUAUGACUCUGCGAGUGACAUCACACCCAGGUCAUAAUGGACAGCUCAGGUUGCAUGGUAACUUGGUAGCCCCUGGUUGAGCAUUUCUUUGAAACCGAGGUAACUCUCUGGGACAAAUCACUGUCCUUCUUCAGGGUGAUGGCAGCCCCUUGCCCUGAAUGUUUGCCCCUCCUCGCCAGGGCUACUUUGGGCAAAAGAGGGAAGCCACCUGUGAUACCCUCAUGGACGUCAGCCAGAGACUGGAACACUUGCCUCCCUACGGGUGUCUGGGGAUCCAGGAAGCCUGUGGUGCUUGGCCUCUGGAGUUAUUUCUUCCCAGCUCUCUACAACCCAGUGAACCACGAUGUUCGGGUUUGCCAGCUUCCUACCAGGAAGUUUUCAGUUGUUCUCAUAUGUGGCUUGGAACCUUUGAGAUAUACUCAUGUCUUAAAGCUCUUCCAGAUGAACCUGGAGUCUUGGAUAUAAAUCAAGGGACACAUCCAUGCCUGCUGUUGUGGACCACUCAGAAACUUUUCAGGACCACUAUGUCCUCACAGCAGAAGAUGAAGGUAGAUAGGAAGCCCAUUGGAUUGACCCAGGGCUCCUCACUCCUGCGUCUCGUGAUGCUGCAGCUCAUGUCAACGAAUCUUCCUUAACUCACGGCUGACGCCCUACAGCACACCUACUGCCCAGUCUCAACAGAGGAUCCACCUCACCCUCAGUGAACAAAAGGUCACAGGAGGCUCUCCCUGAGUCCACAGGUCUAGACAGAAAGAGGGAUCCCUUGUAUAGCAGAGAACCACAGGGGCAAUUGGGCCAACCCUUCUAUUGCUGCUUUGGUCCUCCCAGGUUUGAUCAUGUAUCUACCACUUUAAAUUGAUGAUGUCUUCCUUUGAAUGGCCUCUUUAUGACUCCGUGAGUGACAUCAUACCAGGUCAUAAUGGACAGCUCAGGUGGCAUGGUGACUUGGUGGCUCCUGGUUAAGCAUUUCUUCUUUGAAACCAAGGUCUUUUGGGACCCAGGAAGCCUGUGGUGCUUGGCCUCUGGAGUUAUUUCUUCCCAGCUCUCUACAGCCCAGUGAACUAGGAUGUUUGGGUUUGCCAGCUUCCUACCAGGAACCUUUCAGUUCUUCUCAUAUCUGGCUUGCAACCACUGAGACCAAAAUCUACUCAUGUCUUAAAGCUCUUCCAGCUGAACCUGGAGUCUUGAAUAUAAAUCAAGGGACACAUCCAUGCCUGCUGUUGUGGACCACUCAGAAAUAUUUCAGGACCACUAUGUCAUUACUACAGACAUUGAAACUAGAUAGCAGGAAACCCAUUGGAUUGACCCAAGGCUCUUCACUCCUGCAUCUCAUGAUGCUGCAGCCAAUAUUCAGAUACUGUCUUGGUGGGAUGGACUCUGGAAUCAGAAAUUGGCUUUUGAACUAUUAAUGAUUGAUUCUCUCCUUUUCAUAUAAAGUAAUCUUCCUUAACUGUCUGGCAGCUAACGCCCUACAGCACACCUUCUACUGCCCAGUCUCAGCAGAGGAUGCACCUCACCCUCAGUGAACAAAAGGUCACAGGAGGCUCCCCAUGAGCCUACGAGUCUAGGCAGAAAGAGGGAUCCCUUGCAUAGCAGAGGGGAACGAGGGCAAUUGGGCCAACUCUUCUGUUACUGCUUUGGUUCUCCCAGGUUCGAUCCUGUAUCUACCACUUUAAAUUGGUGUAGUCCUCCUGCGGUUGGCCGCUUUAUGAUUCUGGGGGUGACAUCACACCCAGGUCAUAAUGGACAGCUCAGGUUGCAUGGUAACCUGGUGGCCCCUGGUUGAGCAUUUCUUCUUUGAAACCGAGUUCUCUUGGGAGCCAGGAUCCCUCUGGAGCUUGCCUGUAGGGUAACCUCCUGCCCAGCUCUCUGCAACCCAGUGAACCAUGAUGAUGAAGUUUGCCAGUUUUCUACUAUGAAUGUUUCCAGUUUUUCUCACAUCUGUCUUAGAACCAGAGACAAAAAUCUCGUCAUGUCUUGAAGCUCUUCAAACAGGUUUUACUUGGUCCACUGGAUUUGCAGUGCCACCUGGCAUGAGGAAAUCCGGACACAGUCAGCCUCACUCAGAAGCUCCCAGCAAGUUGUCCUCAGUCUCUGCUGGAGAAAAUGCUGAGUUGAAACUGAGAGAGAGAUACAUUUUCAAGGCUGAAGGGAGAAAAGAACAAGGUGUAAUUAUGAAAAGCUAAGAAUUCAGGAAAGAAUCACCAGAGAAGGAAUUAAAAACAAGAUUUUAUGUGAAAGCGCCCACCUCGAUCCUGAAAGAAAACAAACCCACCGUAACAGCGGCCACUGAGCAGAGUCUCCAGCACAGAGACCCAAAGACAACUGCUGAAGUCACUGUGAACAAAAUCAAGAUGACCUACGUAAAACAGCGUAUGUACCAUAAGAAGGCUUUCAAUCAAGUAAAUAAAGUAUGUGUAAGUUGUAAAAAAAAAAAAAAAAAUGUUCUUUGACAUUUUUUUUUUUUGGUUUGGCAAACUUUUGAAGUCAGUCUCAGAAUUCUUUGAAGUAGCUACUGAACCUCGUUAUUGUCACCCCACUGUGUCUGGUCCCUUCCUCCCUCUCUAGCUCACACUGGUCACCCUUCUGCCUCAGCAAGGUCAUGAGAGGGACCCUGUCCCUGGGGCUGGUCUCCACCCACUUCAUUCAAUCUUACAAAUACAGUAUAGCAAAAGCAUUCCACAGUUUGAGCAGUCAGUGCUCUAAACUACUCCAAAAAUCAUUAAGUCCUUAUUUCCUUUUCUUUCCCCCCAUUUUUUUUUGAAUUUGACUUAAAAACAUUUUUAAUGCAAUGAUAGAAACUGUUAGGACUACAGGAAAGGUAAGGGGGAGGCAGGGAAUAAUUCCAACAGGAAACACUUGCUAGAGUCGUAUUGAGGAAUGAUCUUUAAUGAUUUCUAGUGUUUUUAAAUAAUCAGAUAUAUGCCUAUAUAUUUUUUGCCAUGUUGAACUUAUUUGUAAAGGAAGUGUGUGCUAAUGUGACGAACUGAAAGAUUAACCAAUUCAAAAAUUAGGAAAUUAAAGCCCACAUCAGCA